GGGCGCGUAGUGGAGUGGUUACCACGUUGGUCUUCGACGUGCAAGUCCGCGGAUUUGCUAGCGUUAACCAAAGUUCGUCAGUUCGAUCCUGGCCGCGCUCA